AAGAAAUACUUGUUGAACUGGGGGAAGGGAAAAAGGAAGGUGCUCACUCCCUCCUUUUCCUUUCCCUCUGGGUGGGAUGUGGAUAUAGUGGUGGGAGAAGAUCUUAGACCCAGAGUUGGGAAGUGUAUCAAAAUGUCAGGAAAGUAAGAUCAAAAGGGGUAUGGGACCCUCUAUCUCAGUCCUGCACUGCUUCUGCCCAGCAAAAGAAACACCCAUCUCGUCUGAGCCAUUUUCUUUGUUGUUUUUUCUAAAAUAACUUUUUUUAUUUUUGAGUUGAAGUAUAGUUGAUUUACAAUAUUAGUUUCAGAUGUACAACACAGUGAUUCAGUAUUUUUAUAGAUUGGCCACCAUUAUCUUUAAAGCUUGGUUACAGCAGUUAGAAAACUUGCACCUAACUUACUGGGUUGAAUCCCAGUUGACACUUCGGACUAGUUACUUUUAUUCCCUGAGCGCGUUUCUUCAACUCUAAAAUGGAGGAAAUAUCCACCUCGUGAGGUUCUUGGGAGGAUUCAGUGGCACCACAGAGGACCCAGCCCAGUACAGGCCCGCACAUACAGCAGUUUCUCAGAGCUGCUGGACAGAAUGUCACUUGGGUGUGGAAGGGCCAGGCCCCUGAAUUCCACCAAUGAGACAAGGUGCUGGAGGUGGAGGUGGCUAGGUGGGCAUCUGCGCAUGUGUAUAUCCCUGCCUGGGGCUGGGCGGUGUGUCCCUGGCACUCUGGUUUCAGGUACACAGAAGCAGGGGGGAACUCAAUCCCCAGCACAACCUACAGCUCCCCUGAGGCCUGCAGGAAGUCCCAGAUCCUCUCAGAACCCUUGGCGAUAAGGCCAAGAAGCAGGGAAGCUUCCUUCUGGUGAGAAGCAGAAGAGGAACGGCCUGCAGAAGUCGGGCCAUUGUCAGUGGGACUGCAUAGGACGGAGGCUGGGGCAAAAACGUGAGCGUCUCGAGGACACCCAGUCACUCUGACCAAACCAGUCUGUUUUCUCAUUGACGAAGGAGGGAACUGGACCACAUGGUCUCUGAGGCUCCACGGCACCAGGACAGCUGCCGAAUCUGUCCUCAAAGGCGGGUCUGGGAGGGAGGAAAGCUACCAGGGAUGGUUAGAGCUCAAAGCUCCCCAGGGCUGGGAGACACAUCCAUCAAGUGCCGGAGGUGAGAGGCCGCCUUGUCCAGUUUUGACAGUUCCAACUGGAGGGAAGAAAGCUGGGCAAGGAGAGAAGCAGGUGAGGAUCGAGGUAUAGCCUCCCCCCACCACCCCUGUCCCCAGCCCAUAUUCCCUUAGGGAGUCAGGCAUCCUGGGUGGCCUGCCCCAGACUCACCCUCUGCUGCCUCUGAGUCUCUGCCUCUCCCUCUGAUGGGGUCCGGGCUAUGAGGCCAUCAAGCUGCUUCUGCAACUUGUGUCUUCGGGCAGCUAGCCGAGGUAGGUAGGUCUGGGGGUCCACCAGGCCCUGCAGAAGAACAGAGAGAAGGCUCAGACAUCUACAGUCCACCCAGCAUGCCCUUCCCCCCAUUCUAAGAUCUCUCCUCACUUCCCCCCCCCCCCGCCCACCUCACUUUUAUAGAACCCGCCCCUUGCCCUCCUCCCAACAUCCUUUUCAACCCCACCCCUCCCUCCUCCAGCCUCCUCUGGUCACCUGCAGCUCCAUGUAGACCUGAACAGUGUCACUGAGAGCGGCCUGGGCCCAGCCCGAGGGAGCUGCUGCAGCUGGGGGUAGAAGGCCCACGGCCCCACAGUGGCCCAGGGUGCCCAAGGGCUCCAGGAAGGCCUCAAAGAGGCCCUGCUCUCCUGGCUCUGAGCUCUGCAGCAGCACUGGGGAGGAAAGGAAACUGUCAGGGUCGAGAGAGCAGCUCCUCAUCCUGCACCUCCCAACUCUGGGCUCUGUCCUCCAGGCUCCCCCUCUUCCCCACCAGCCCCUCCUGUCUGCAGAGACUCAGGAGCCCAGGGCCCGCCUCACCUCGGGGCCGGGCCUUGGUGAGCUGGUACGUGGCACGGAGAGCCCUCAGCGCCUGCACAGCCUCCUGGACCCGGGAGAAGUGCCGCUCCAGCUCGGGCUGGUGCCAGUGCUCCUGGAGAUGGGCACCCAGAGUGGGUAAGCAGGCACCUGGGGGACUCGGUCUCAACUCUCCUGGCUCUAACCUCCACCCGCCCACCCCUAUCUCCUUAGAGCAACGAUCUGCUCUCUCCACCACACACAUAAUUCACCACCUCAAGGAACGGAACAUGGCAAAAACCGGGGUGUCAUCUAAGAAGGUCUUAGAUGAUUGCUGGUUAAUGUCUGUUUAGUCGCUCUGACUGGAGAUGACAAACAACCAAAAAUCAGAAUUUAAAAGGUAUUAUUCAAAACUCACAAAACCAAGUAAGUAAAAAAGAAAUUGAGUUAAACUUUAGAAUUACUUUUUGGGUGAGUUUGUAGCAUUUUAUCCUUCUCAAGUUAUUAAAGCUUAACACUGCA